rnacentral:misc_RNA from 1 species
UGAUAAGCGCAUCUUAGAUAACAGGUAUAAAAUCAAAUUGAAAAUUCUGCAUUUAUGCACCCAGUCUAUGCCCUCCUAAAAGUUUUGGACCAUAAACUUUUAGUCACUUGAAAUCUGACUCAUAUCUUGUAAAUUUUAGAAUUUAUUGGUUUGUGAAAUUUUUGGCCAUUGACCGGCUGUAAGUUCCUUUUGAUGCCUAUUAUAAUUUUUAUGAUUCCUGUUCCCAAACUACACAUCCUUCUCUUUAGGUGUUUCAGAGGAUUAUUUUACUUGUAUAAAAGACGGCUUGUAAUGCCUUUGUUUCCACUCUGUUCCACAAAAGAUUGAAGAGUAUACAUUAUCUUCAUUUCAAGUGUA